rnacentral:lncRNA from 1 species
UCAAAUGAAUUCACAAUUUAAUAUUUGUUCUUGAAGAAAAGCUAGGAAGCAACCAGAAAGUAGUGAGAUAAAAUAUAACACCAAAAAAUAAGUGCCAAUAAGUGUGAAGAUAAAAGAUCAUAGUAUUACCUGAUGUUUUUCUUUUUUCUAAAAUUACCACUAAGCUUAAAGAAAAGAUGACUUAAAGUUCUGAGUACAUUAGUCAGCAGGCCAUUACCGCUAGCUCAUAACAUGCUACUGAAUCUCAGGUCACAGCCAUUAAGACUGUACAGAUUAUAGAGUAAAGCAACACCUACAACACAUUGAUUCAAAUAAUUUCAUGUACAUCUUGUCCCAGAAGCUUGCACUGAGACCUUGAGGCUUCUUCAGUCAGGUUGCAUUUCAGACGCAAUCUGAAUUUUGUUUGGUUUUCAGCACAUGAACCAGUUGCAGCACCGGAACCGGGACAACAUGUGCUCGGUCUUCCGGAUGCGCUCCACCUGUCGCGCCAACCAGAGUGCCCGCCAGUUAUGCCUUGCCUCGACCCUCGCCUGCUUCCCCUCCACCUUGUGGCCCAAUGGGGACAGUCUCUUGGUCAUGUUGUUCUUCGCCCGAGCCCUCAUUUGACCGACCUGCACCUGACAUAUAUUUGCACAAUUACAGCUAGCUGAGAUUUAUUUCACAGUUUUGUUAAGAGUUCAGAAUUUAGAGCAGAGCUGGCUAAGGGAUGCGUGGCGGCUCGGGCCAGAGUGUCGCUCCUCGACUACUCCUGACUGUCGAUUGGCGUCAUCUCUGUGCCUACGCCCCUCAUCAACACAGAUGAUGACAACUGCGUUGCUGCUGGACCGCCUGCCUGGGUGCAGAGCAUAUAUGUCGAUUCGGUAGAAGUUUUUGCUCUGCCGGAGAUGGUCUACUUAGGAGGUUACAUUCUAUGCAUCAUUUCAGUUGAUUUUAAAUUUGCAGCGGCGUGUUUAAUUCAUGUUGGCUAGAGUUCAGAAGAUAUUAUUGCCGGCCAUCAGAAUUUUUCAAAAAUAACACCAAUAAGGUUUAGUACGGAGACUAUUUUUGAGUUAUUCACAGGAAAAAACAAAAAUGUGCCUUGUGCACUAAGUUCAUGUUGCAGGACAAUAAAUUGCCUUUAAUAAUAAGUUCACUGAAACUUCAAAGAAAUGUCAUAGAACUAUGGCAGUACUAUGACAUACUGAGUGCGUACUGACAAAUGAACUUUCACUAUUUUCAUCCCAUCAAAAGUUCAAAUAACCAGAUCAUGACAUGUAGGUCAGAGAUAGACAAGAAAUUCAAAUGAGUAACAAACCAAUAAACGAUUCAAAAAAUGUAGAAAGUGCCUUUAAAAUUUUGUUAUAACUUAUAAGCCUCUCUAACAAGUGGCACCUCCAUCAUGUGGGCCAAAGGAUGGAUUUCGUACAAUGACAAAUAACUUCAAUCUUCUCACAACUAAAAAACACAUGGAAAAUGAUAAUGAGAAGUACAAAUGAUAUUCACCUUAAUGUAUAUCAUAUUGAAGGAUUUUACUGUUCCGAUAAACGAUUGCAAUGUUCCCUCAACUUCAGCUCUGUCUCGGCAUAGUCUUCGUUCGGAUUAUAGUCAUACUGGGCAGUAGAGACUACCCUGUUAGUGCAGAUAGUAUACUGCAGUGUACUGUCAACAAACUAACUAAUAAGAUAUGCAUGGGAAUUUCAUAUAGAAGUGUAUAAAUUGAUUUUAAAUAUAUGACCAAAUCACAACUGUGUGAAUAAGGAAAUAAGAUCCAGUGUUGAAUUUAUACCUUUGAGGCUAGCUCCUGAACCAUCUGUUGCAGAUAUGACAUCUUUUUGGUAUACUCAGAGAGAUCUAAUUCUGCUAUACCAGGCCUGCAAAAUGAUAAUCAAACUGAGUGAAAUGGUGUUUUUUCUUGAAAUUUCUUGUCAACUAGGGGUCACAAGAUGGCAACAUAUAUCAUACCAUUUCUCAAUUAUAUGGUUGCUAGAAAUCUGUGCCUUCUAAAUAAUACAAUUGACAAAAACAUCAAAUUGGGUGCACUUAUAGGGGGGUAAAUUGAUUGUAUUUGGACACCUUCAGGAAAAUAUAAUGAGAAAAUAACUAACCAUUGGAUGAGAAAUUUUAAUUUGCUAAAUGUCUGAAAGAAAGGACAUGAAGCAAGUAUGCAUGGCCCAGUAAAACUACCUAAAUUAGCCUAACAGGAGAGAGAACUGGAAAAUGCUCAAUGUUAACUUGAACUGACUUACAUUUUACUCAAUGAAAGAUGACACAGAUUCAUAUAAGCUUCUAGUAAAUGCACACAGAAAAGGGGAUAAUCUGAAACUAAAAGUAAAACAUUACAUGCAAAUUGUACUUCCUGCAUAUAGGGGAAACCGUUCAAACAUCACAUUCGGCUGUUAUCGAAUAACUAUGUAAUAGGUAAACAAUAGUACAAACAGAGGAACAACAAACUUCAAUCCAACUUGUGAGAAGCAUGGGCUUGCAUCAACCAUCAUUGAGUCUUACCAAAGAAAAAAUCAAGCCGGGUUCAAACAAAAGCACAUGUCAAAACCUACAUAUAGUGGCAUUGAGAGAACAGAGGGGAAGCAAGAAGGAUUGGUAGAGAGAGAGAGGAAAUAACGAUAUGGAGAAUCUCAUCUUGGCGUCAUCCGCCACGCUCGACAUUGCUUACGCACAUGUCACUGCCCAGCCAUGCCCGUGGUCUUGACCGCUGCUCCCGCCGCUUGCGCCGGUUGCUGCGGCAUUUUCAUCGUGGCCACACGUCCUUCGAGCUGCCGCCCGUCAAGAUCCAGGGUGACGGAAACCUGGGCUUCCAAAUGCUAAAUGAGGAUUGCUCCUUCAGAUAUAGUCAGCAGAAGAAGUUGAAAAAACAUAUACCAAAUGAAUAAUGCAUGAGAUUCUCCAAGUAAAUAUGUUAUAACAUUACACCUUAUGACAAUACACUUAAAUAAUCAACAGCAACAUUACAUCUUAGGGCUGCUGUAGGCUGGACGCGAGGCAGCUGGGCCGAGGCGAAGGCUAACGGCCCAUGGGAUGAAGCGGACGUGGGAUGCAGGCGCGGCCUCGCUCGAUCCCGUGCACGUGGAGGCGGCUGGAGAUCGUUCGGGGCGGCGAUGCUAAGGGAUCUUGGCCGGUAACGAAGACCAAGACGGACCAGGACGUCGGUGGAGCAACGAGAAGCUGGGACGGCAGAUACGACGCGGGCUCCAUGGAUCCGUCUGUUCCCUACCGAAUCCGGUGGCAACAAUGGCGGUGCGGGGCAUCGGGGCACCGUGGCAGGGAAGACCUGCGCUCAAUGCACCCGGCCGCCGCUCCCAGGCUCACCGACAUCGGCCUCGUCAGUGCCUCCAAUGGCUUCCACGCCGCCGAGCUCGGGGCCAUCGCGGCCGCGUCCCCUACCCCUGAUGGCCAUGGCGUCCUGUAGUUUGGAAACAGAGAGAGAUUAGUGGGGAGAGGGGGAGAAAAUGAAGGAGGGUGUUGGGCGCGGUUGACCGGCUGAGGAGGUCGGCGGCGGCUUGCAGGAGUGCGAGCGACGACUGGAGGCAGGGUCGACUCGGGUGGAUCGGGGGGAAGUGCACAGAAGGAGGAGGAGCGAGGAGCGGCGGCGCCGUUUUUCUAGAUCUGGGAAGAGAAAGAAGGAUCGGGGAGGCACGAUUCAUUUGGAAUCGGCCCGAAAAUUAAGGAGCUGAUCGAGGAUGCGGUUGUUUCCGCUGUGCGGGCGUGCGAACGCCAGAGUUUUCGUCCGCCCCGAAACAUGUUCUCUUGUUUAAUAGUAGUGUAGAUGAAUAUUUUGAUGGAAUAUAAAAGCUUUUUAUACUUGUGCUUGCAAGAAUUAUGAUGCCUCCUGUGCGGCCGUUUAAUGUAUAUAUUUGUAUAUAACCUGAAAGAUGGCAGUCGUUGGCUUCAGCCCCCACGCAUAGAAUGCGGGGGUGUUUGCAAAAAGGCGCCCUUUCACACUUAAUCCAACGUAUUGGUCCUAUAAAGGAGGUGGUGGCGCGGCGAACUAGGCAACCGGACUAUAAUGCUUUAUCACUUUCACUUAGCCAUAGGAGUUUGACAGUGGGGCUACUGAAUAGCCCCUAGGGGCACCGCACUCACCCGGAUUCGGGGCGCGAGCGUGCCUGACCGGGAAGCGGCCCUUCGUUAAUGCGGAGGAAUCCUAAAGAUUCCGAAAGUCAUCGAGUGGUUGACCAGUCUCUCGCUAUAUCAUGACAGUCAGUUUUCGGCUUUCUCUACUGAGGUGCUCGCCUGGCCGAACCAGGGCACAAUCGCAGUAGUUCUCCUGGUGCCGCGUUAGCCGAUAUAACGGAACAUAAGGCAGCAAAACACAGGAGCCAGGCAAACCCAACAUUUGACCAAAGACAUGAUUCGGAGCUGAUGCAUAUAGGGCCAAACUCGCGACGCCGAACACUCCCUAAGGUAUUCGGUCUU